AUUGAAACAAGGCAUAGGCAAAAACCAGAGCGGCGGCUAGGCAAUGAGGGUCGCAGAUCAAAGGUUUCAAAAGAGAAAAAACAGAGCCAUGCGAACUUCAUCAUCAAGACCGUAAAUAAGAGAAAAAACCGAGCCAUGCGAACUUCAUCAUCAAGACCGUAAAUAAGAACGGCGUUGGAGUGAGGCCGCUGGAUUAGGUCGUUGAGGAAGAAGGGGAGUCAGACGAACGGAGUGACCAGGAAACACGGUCGGCAUUUCGGCGACGACAACGGCGUUCAAGAUAAUAGUCAAGCAGAUAAAAGGAUGUAGAAUAGAAGAUGAAGGUGAGGUUGAGUGUUAGCAGGGUGGAAUGGAUUGGUGUAUUGGGUACUGAUGUGUUGCCAUGCCAAAUCAGAAACAUUGUUUUUAUUGUAAUUCAAUUCUUUUAUUUUAUGUAAAAUAAAGAUGUUUAGAUUUUUUAUGAUAA